rnacentral:rRNA from 1 species
GUUAGUGGUCAAUAGUUUCUAGCCUGACCUGAUUUCAGAAUUUAAGCUAGACUGAACCUGGUCAGUAUUAGAAUGGGAGACCUCUUAGGAAAACCAGUUUACUGCUGUAA